rnacentral:rRNA from 1 species
GACGAACCGUGCGAACGUUGUUCGGAAUCACUGGGCUUAAAGGGCGCGUAGGCGGGCAGUCAAGUCAGGGGUGAAAUCCCACGGCUCAACCGUGGAAGUGCCUUUGAUACUGGCUGUCUCGAGGGAGGUAGGGGCGUGCGGAACUUCCGGUGGAGCGGUGAAAUGCGUAGAUAUCGGAAGGAACGCCGGUGGCGAAAGCGGCGCGCUGGACCUCUUCUGACGCUGAGGCGCGAAAGCCAGGGGAGCAAACGGG